rnacentral:rRNA from 1 species
GUGGGGAAUAUUGGACAAUGGGCGAAAGCCUGAUCCAGCCAUGCCGCGUGUGUGAAGAAGGUCUUCGGAUUGUAAAGCACUUUAAGUUGGGAGGAAGGGCAGUAAGUUAAUACCUUGCUGUUUUGACGUUACCGACAGAAUAAGCACCGGCUAACUUCGUGCCAGCAGCCGCGGUAAUACGAAGGGUGCAAGCGUUAAUCGGAAUUACUGGGCGUAAAGCGCGCGUAGGUGGUUUUGUAAGUUGGAGGUGAAAUCCCCGGGCUCAACCUGGGAACUGCCUCCAAAACUACUGAGCUAGAGUACGGUAGAGAGUAGUGGAAUUGCCUGUGUAGCGGUGAAAUGCGUAGAUAUAGGAAGGAACACCAGUGGCGAAGGCGACUACCUGGACUGAUACUGACACUGAGGUGCGAAAGCGUGGGGAGCAAACAGGAUUAGAAACCCUAGUAGUCC